AUGGAGGGAGGAGAAGGAGAGUGGAUGGAGGGAUGGAGGAGAAGGAGAGUGGAUGGAGGGAGGAGAAGGAGAGUAGAUGGAGGGAGGGAGGAGAAGGAGAGUGGAUGGAGGGGAGGGAGGAGAAGGAGAGUGGAUGGAGGGAGGAGAAGGAGAGUGGAUGGAGGGAGGAGAAGGAGAGUGGAUGGAGGGAGGGAGGAGAAGGAGAGUGGAUGUAUGGAGGAGAAAGAGAGUGGAUGUAUGGAGGAGAAGGAGAGUGGAUGGAGGGAGGAGAAGGAGAGGGAUGGAGGGAGGGAGGAGAAGGAGAGUGGAUGGAGGGAGGAGAAGGAGAGUGGGUGGAGGGAGGAGAAGGAGAGUGGAUGGAGGGAGGAGAAGGAGAGUGGAUGGAGGGAGGAGAAGGAGAGUGGAUGGAUGGAGGAGAAGGAGAGUGGAUGGAGGGAGGAGAAGGAGAGUGGAUGGAGGGAGGAGAAGGAGAGUGGAUGGAGGGAGGAGAAGGAGAGUGGAUGGAGGGAGGAGAAGGAGAGUGGAUGGAGGGAGGGAGGAGAAGGAGAGUGGAUGGAGGGAGGGAGGAGAAGGAGAGUGGAUGGAGGGAGGAGAAGGAGAGUGGAUGGAGGGAGGGAGGAGAAGGAGAGUGGAUGGAGGGAGGGAGGAGAAGGAGAGUGGAUGGAGGGAGGGAGGAGAAGGAGAGUGGAUGGAGGGAGGAGAAGGAGAGUGGAUGGAGGGGGGAGGGAGGGAGAAGGAGAGUGGAUGGAGGGAGGAGAAGGAGAGUGGAUGGAGGGAGGAGAAGGAGAGUGGAUGGAGGGGGAGAAGGAGAGUGGAGGAUGGAGGAGAAGGAGAGUGGAUGGAGGGAGGGAGGAGAAGGAGAGUGGAUGGAGGGAGGAGAAGGAGAGUGGAUGGAGAGGGAGAGUGGAUAGGGAGAGGGAGAGGGAGAGGGAGAGUGGAUGGAGGGAGGAGAGGGAGAGUGGAUGGAUGGAUGGAUGGAGGGAGAGGAGGGAGAGAGGAGGAUAG
rnacentral:lncRNA from 1 species